rnacentral:rRNA from 1 species
UGGGGAAUAUUGGACAAUGGGGGCAACCCUGAUCCAGCCAUGCCGCGUGUGUGAAGAAGGCCUUUUGGUUGUAAAGCACUUUAAGCAGGGAGGAGAGGCUAAUGGUUAAUACCCAUUAGAUUAGACGUUACCUGCAGAAUAAGCACCGGCUAACUCUGUGCCAGCAGCCGCGGUAAUACAGAGGGUGCGAGCGUUAAUCGGAAUUACUGGGCGUAAAGCGAGUGCAGGUGGCUCAUUAAGUCACAUGUGAAAUCCCCGGGCUUAACCUGGGAACUGCAUGUGAUACUGGUGGUGCUAGAAUAUGUGAGAGGGAAGUAGAAUUCCAGGUGUAGCGGUGAAAUGCGUAGAGAUCUGGAGGAAUACCGAUGGCGAAGGCAGCUUCCUGGCAUAAUAUUGACACUGAGAUUCGAAAGCGUGGGUAGCAAAACAGGAUUAGAUACCCUGGUAGUCCACGCCGUAAACGAUGUCUACUAGCCGUUGGGGUCCUUGAGACUUUAGUGGCGCAGUUAACGCGAUAAGUAGACCGCCUGGGGAGUACGGCCGCAAGGUU